AUCCAGUUGACGAGUCUUAAGAUAGGACGAAAUACGCAUCUUGGCUGGAU
rnacentral:hammerhead_ribozyme from 1 species